CCCUUCACACGUGCAGACAAAGAGCGCCAACAACACAACCCAAAUAUGCACUUUUAAACUUUUCCAAACGAAACGGACGACUUCCACGAACAUAGGAAAUGCAACGGUGGGUUGAAACCUGUUUAAUUUGAAAAGCUUUUCUUUUUCGGGAGGCCUGAAUUGGGAAAAAGUACCUUGGAGCCGUACCUUCUACAACAGGAUUUUAGCUGCAGGACCUCUGAAUAACCAUCUACACUGUGGCGGAUUUACCCGCGACCUGUACCGGACUCAUGGAAUCGGAAUUGGAUUAUAUCUCCCGGCGCACAUCACAACAAAGGCUUUCCAAAUUGGAUAGGCGUCUCAUCGGACCCUCAAGGACAACAUGG